GGAAACUGACGGCCACCGCGGUGGUCUGCAGGAGGACUGCUGCGAGCAGGAUGAGCCCCAGACUCUGGAGAGAUACAGAGACGGCCAUAAUCACAGCACAGCGUGAGUCAAUUCCCAGGCUCGUCAGAGAGAAGUAGAGGAGGAGGUGACUGAUAUCUGAAGACUAUCUGGCCUCGGGCAGGGAAGAUGACACCCUGAGAGACAUGCCUGUCUACACUCCCAUGGCAAACAGACACACCGAGAGAGCGAGACGGUCCAAUCAGCUGGUCGACCUUUGACCUCUGCAUACAUGUUCACACAUGCAGCAGGUCCUGACUGGCUUUAGUCCUCUGGUGUUUUGAAGCUCAAAGGAAGUUAUGCUAUGGUAUAUACCUCCUGAGCGACCGCAGCAGCCAGGUUUCCUCCAGCACUGUCACCUGCCACAGCCACACGCUCAGGGUCGACUGCAUACCUGGCCUGAAC